rnacentral:rRNA from 1 species
UACAGAGGGGGCAAGCGUUAUUCGGAAUUAUUGGGCGUAAAGGGCGCGUAGGCGGCUUUGCAAGUGGCGGGUGAAAUCCCUCGGCUUAACCGAGGAACUGCCUGUCAAACUGCAUGGCUUGAGACCAGGAGAGGUGAGUGGAAUUCCCAGUGUAGCGGUGAAAUGCGUAGAUAUUGGGAGGAACACCAGUGGCGAAAGCGACUCUCUGGGGGUGACCUGACGCUGAGGCGCGAAAGCGUGGGGAGCAAACGGG